rnacentral:rRNA from 1 species
CAGGUCUGGCAAUUGGAAUGAGAACAAUUUAAAUCCCUUAUCGAGUAUCAAUUGGAGGGCAAGUCUGGUGCCAGCAGCCGCGGUAAUUCCAGCUCCAAUAGCAUAUAUUAAAGUUGUUGCAGUUAAAAAGCUCGUAGUUGGAUUUCUGUAAAAGUUUGUAAACCCGCAGUCCGGUGUUUAUCGAACUUUUGCAUCCUUCAGUUACCUUCGUUGGUGAUUCACUUCUCCUUCGUACGGUUCUGUAAUUUUACCUUGAGAAAAUUAGAGUGUUUCAGGCAGGCUAGGUCCGGAAUACAUUAGCAUGGAAUAAUAGAAUAGGACUCCGGUCUCGUUGUUGGUUUGAGGGACUGUAGUAAUGAUUAAUAGGGAUAGUUGGGGGCAUUGGUAUUCGAUUGUCAGAGGUGAAAUUCUCAGAUUUAUUGAAGACUAACUUAUGCGAAAGCAUUUGCCAAGGAUGUUUUCAUUAAUCAAGAACGAAAGUUAGGGGAUCAAAGACGAUCAGAUACCGUCCUAGUCUUAACCAUAAACUAUGCCGACUCG